CAAUCACCUGACCUCCAUCGGUAUCCACUCGAGUAGGAUCUGGAUCAUCUUCUCCUCGUGAAUCUUUAUUCCAAAAAUUAGAUCUGGAUCUAAUCUGGAAGAUCUUCAAAAGAUCUUCUGAAGCUGGAGCAGCAACUUCUCGAUAAAUCUCUGCAGCCUUCUAAUCAAAGAGCCACCAUGUCUUGGACAAGCACCAAAUGGAUGCCAAACCUCUUGGACGUGAAGAAAGGAAGGAAAGGAGCAGAGGGGGCAUGAAGAAGUGGAGAGAAUUCAGACUUUUGUUGGUUAUUGCACAGAGUCUCUAAACCC
rnacentral:lncRNA from 1 species